rnacentral:rRNA from 1 species
AUACGUAGGGUGCAAGCGUUAAUCGGAAUUACUGGGCGUAAAGCGUGCGCAGGCGGUUUUGUAAGACAGUGGUGAAAUCCCCGGGCUCAACCUGGGAACUGCCAUUGUGACUGCAAGGCUGGAGUGCGGCAGAGGGGGAUGGAAUUCCGCGUGUAGCAGUGAAAUGCGUAGAUAUGCGGAGGAACACCGAUGGCGAAGGCAAACCCCUGGGCCUGCACUGACGCUCAUGCACGAAAGCGUGGGGAGCAAACAGGAUGAGAUUCCCGGGUAGUCCACGCCCUAAACGAUGUCAACUGGUUGUUGGGGAUUUAUUUUCUCAGUAACGAAGCUAACGCGUGAAGUUGACCGCCUGGGGAGUACGGCCGCAAGGUUAAAACUCAAAGGAAUUGACGGGG